rnacentral:misc_RNA from 1 species
AACAAGGCGUACCUGCGGACCUGCGGAGGGAUCAUUACUGAGUGUAAAAACUCCCAACCCUUUGUGAACAUACCUCUGUUGCUUCGGCGGAUGCGCCCCGGGCGCGCCUCCUAGGAGGCGUGCCCCGGAACCAGGCGCCCGCCGGGGGACCUACAAACUCUUGUAUUCCUAGCGGAUCUCUGAGUGUGAUUUAAACAAAUCAAAUCAAAACUUUUAACAAUGGAUCUCAGAUCGGAAGAG